AUUGAACGCUAGCGGGAUGCUUUACACAUGCAAGUCGAACGGCAGCGCGGACUUCGGUCUGGCGGCGAGUGACGAACGGGUGAGUAAUGUAUCUGAACGUGCCCAGUAGCGGGGGAUAACUACGCGAAAGCGUAGCUAAUACCGCAUACGCCCUACGGGGGGAAGCAGGGGAUCGUAAGACCUUGCACUAUUGGAGCGGCCGAUAUCGGAUUAGCUAGUUGGUGAGGUAACGGCUCACCAAGGCGACGAUCCGUAGCUGGUUUGAGAGGACGACCAGCCACACUGGGACUGAGACACGGCCCAGACUCCUACGGGAGGCAGCAGUGGGGAAUUUUGGACAAUGGGGGCAACCCUGAUCCAGCCAUCCCGCGUGUGCGAUGAAGGCCUUCGGGUUGUAAAGCACUUUUGGCAGGAAAGAAACGUCGCGGGCUAAUACCCCGUGGAACUGACGGUACCUGCAGAAUAAGCACCGGCUAACUACGUG
rnacentral:rRNA from 1 species